rnacentral:rRNA from 1 species
CGAACGCUGGCGGCACGCCUAACACAUGCAAGUCGGACGAGAUCUUCGGAUCUAGUGGCGGACGGGUUAGUAACGCGUGGGAACAUACCCUUUUCUAAGGAAUAGCCACUGGAAACGGUGAGUAAUACCUUAUACGCCCUUCGGGGGAAAGAUUUAUCGGUGAAGGAUUGGCCCGCGUUAGAUUAGAUAGUUGGUGGGGUAAUGGCCUACCAAGUCUACGAUCUAUAGCUGGUUUGAGAGGAUGAUCAGCAACACUGGGACUGAGACACGGCCCAGACUCCUACGGGAGGCAGCAGUGGGGAAUCUUAGACAAUGGGCGAAAGCCUGAUCUAGCGAUGCCGCGUGUGUGACGAAGGCCUUAGGGUCGUAAAGCACUUUCGCCAAGGAUGAUAAUGACAGUACUUGGUAAAGAAACCCCGGCUAACUCC